rnacentral:rRNA from 1 species
UACGAAGGGGGCUAGCGUUGCUCGGAAUCACUGGGCGUAAAGGGUGCGUAGGCGGGUCUUUAAGUCAGGGGUGAAAUCCUGGAGCUCAACUCCAGAACUGCCUUUGAUACUGAGGAUCUUGAGUUCGGGAGAGGAGAGUGGAAUUCCCAGUGUAGAGGUGAAAUUCGUAGAUAUUGGGAAGAACACCGGUGGCGAAGGCGGCUCUCUGGACCGAGACUGACGCUGAGGCGCGAAAGCGUGGGGAGCGAACGGG